rnacentral:rRNA from 1 species
GAUGAACGCUGGCGGCGUGCCUAAUACAUGCAAGUCGAGCGAACGGACGAGAAGCUUGCUUCUCUGAUGUUAGCGGCGGACGGGUGAGUAACACGUGGAUAACCUACCUAUAAGACUGGGAUAACUCCGGGAAACCGGAGCUAAUACCGGAUAAUAUUUUGAACCGCAUGGUUCAAAAGUAAAAGACGGUCUUGCUGUCACUUAUAGAUGGAUCCGCGCUGCAUUAGCUAGUUGGUAAGGUAACGGCUUACCAAGGCAACGAUGCAUAGCCGACCUGAGAGGGUGAUCGGCCACACUGGAACUGAGACACGGUCCAGACUCCUACGGGAGGCAGCAGUAGGGAAUCUUCCGCAAUGGGCGAAAGCCUGACGGAGCAACGCCGCGUGAGUGAUGAAGGUCUUCGGAUCGUAAAACUCUGUUAUUAGGGAAGAACAUAUGUGUAAGUAACUGUGCACAUCUUGACGGUACCUAAUCAGAAAGCCACGGCUAACUACGUG